GGGAGUGAAGCUUAGAGGUAGAGCGCUUGCCUAGCAGCAUGUGCAAAGCCCUGGGUUCAGCCCCCAGCACUUAAA
rnacentral:tRNA from 1 species